rnacentral:hammerhead_ribozyme from 1 species
AUCCAGCUGAUGAGUCCCAAGUAAGACGAAACGUGCCUCUUGGAU